AAGAAGCAGCACCGGGUUCUGACCUUUGUAAAGAAAACUGGGAUCCAGCAGAGAUCAUGACCUCUGAGUAUCAGAGGGAAAAAACUAACCUGACGGAUGACUCCCUGCAUUGAAGGAAUGAGCUUCACACCUCGGCUGUCUGGAGAAGCACGGGGAGCAUUUUAGACUAAAUGAAAAUGGUGCAGUUACGGUUUGACCUUCAAACAAAAUAGUAAAGAAUCUACUACCAACACUUUAUGUAUGAAAAAUAUUAUUUCAUUGAAAAUACAAUCAAAUAGCAGAUUUCUAAAA